CUUAAAGGAAUUGACGGAAGGGCACCACCAGGAGUGGAAUCUGCGGCUUAAUUUGACCAACGCGGGAAAACUCACCAGGUCAGGACACGGUAAGGAUUGACGGACUGAAGGCUCUUUCUCGAUUCCGUGGAAAGUGGUGCAUGGCCGUUUUUGGUUGGUGGAUCGAUCCGUCUGGUUAAUUCCGUUAACGAACGAGACCUCGGCACUCCGAAUAGCGCGGCGGACGUCGCGGCCUCCGGGCCGUCUUCCGCACGAGCUUCUUAGAGGGACCGUCCCCCGCCGGGGAAGGAGGUGCGAGGCAACGACAGGUCUGUGAUGCCCUUAGAUGUUCUGGGCCGCACGCGCAUUACACUGACGCGUCCAACGGGUGACUCCCGACCCGAAGGGGCCGGGGAAUCCGCAAGGCGCGUCGUGAUGGGGAUUGAACGUUGCAAUUGUUGUUCACGAACGAGGAAUUCCUAGUAGGCGCGGGUCAUCAACCCGCGCCGAUUACGUCCCUGCCCUUUGUA
rnacentral:rRNA from 1 species